CAAUGUGGCUAGCUGAAUGGAUUUCAGGUUGUAACCAUUUCCGUGCAAGGUGUAUGAGGUCAAACAUUUGGGAACGUGCAGCUUUGUCUGAAGAAUAUGACCAUGAGUGGAACCUUUGGGCACGUACUGCAGAGGUUACACCCAGUCGUGCCAAGAUUUCAGCUUUCAAUUUGCUGUAGAUACUUGCAUCGGCUGGUUCUAGGUCAUAAUAUGCCUUCUGCGGCUCUCCACUUAGGAACGGUGCCAGUAUGCUUGCCCACUCACCAGCCGGCCAUCCCUCCCUCUCAGCAGUGCGCUCAAAUGCCAGAAGGUACGCCUCAACAUCAUCUGAUGCGGUCAUUUUCUGAAGAUAGUGGCUCGCCCGAAUCACCUUUGGCCCCUGGUAUCUUCCAUCAGGGUCUCCAUUCAGUUUUUCAGAGAUAGCUUGGAUUUCCUGUUGUAGUCCCUGGGUGACUUUUUUCUGCUCCUCACGGGCUACUUUAAACAUCUCCGCUUGUGUCACAACAAGCUGUUUCACCAAGGACUCAGUGCACUCCAUUUGUGUUUUGGCCAGGACUUUAGCACACUCUGCCUGGGCCAGCACCAGUUGCUGCAGGGCUGCACUGUUUUCUGCAGCUCUCCUGUUAGUCU